rnacentral:rRNA from 1 species
GACGAACGCUGGCGGCGUGCCUAAUACAUGCAAGUCGAACGAGAGCGACCGGCGCUUGCACUGGUCAAUCUAGUGGCGAACGGGUGAGUAACACGUGGGUAACCUGCCCAUCAGAGGGGGAUAACAUCCGGAAACGGAUGCUAAAACCGCAUAGGUCUUCGAGCCGCAUGGCUUGAAGAGGAAAAGAGGCGCAAGCUUCUGCUGAUGGAUGGACCCGCGGUGCAUUAGCUAGUUGGUGAGGUAACGGCUCACCAAGGCCGUGAUGCAUAGCCGACCUGAGAGGGUGAUCGGCCACAUUGGGACUGAGACACGGCCCAAACUCCUACGGGAGGCAGCAGUAGGGAAUCUUCCGCAAUGGACGCAAGUCUGACGGAGCAACGCCGCGUGAGUGAAGAAGGUUUUCGGAUCGUAAAACUCUGUUGUUAGAGAAGAACAAGUGCUAGAGUAACUGUUAGCGCCUUGACGGCAUCUAACCAGAAAGCCACGGCUAACUACGUG